rnacentral:rRNA from 1 species
GACGAACGCUGGCGGCGUGCUUAACACAUGCAAGUCGAACGGAAAGGCCCUGCUUUUGUGGGGUGCUCGAGUGGCGAACGGGUGAGUAACACGUGAGUAACCUGCCCUUGACUUUGGGAUAACUUCAGGAAACUGGGGCUAAUACCGGAUAGGAGCUCCUGCUGCAUGGUGGGGGUUGGAAAGUUUCGGCGGUUGGGGAUGGACUCGCGGCUUAUCAGCUUGUUGGUGGGGUAGUGGCUUACCAAGGCUUUGACGGGUAGCCGGCCUGAGAGGGUGACCGGCCAAAUUGGGACUGAGAUACGGCCCAGACUCCUACGGGAGGCAGCAGUGAGGAAUAGUGCACAAUGGGCGGAAGCCUGAUGCAGCAACGCCGCGUGCGGGAUGACGGCCUUCGGGUUGUAAACCGCUUUCGCCUGUGACGAAGCGUGAGUGACGGUAAUGGGUAAAGAAGCACCGGCUAACUACGUG